rnacentral:rRNA from 1 species
UGUCGCAGGUAGACUUAUUUUGAUUAUUAAUAUGGUUUGCUAAAGGGUUUGUAGUUAGAAAAAUAUUUUAUGAUUAUAAGUAUAUAAAAGAAAUUAGUAUCGGGCGAUAGAGAAUAGUACUGUGAAGGAAGGUUGAAAUAAUUGUUGAAAUUAAGUUGGAAGUAUAAGUAAAAUUUAGCACCUUGUGUAUUAGGGAUAUUUUAUAUUAGGUAGUUAAUAAUUAUUAUUCCCGAGAUAAGGAGAGCUAAGUUAUUAGGUAAGUUUUUGUUGUAAAAAAAUUUAUAAUUUUAUCUUAGUAGUGAAAUGUUAAUCGAGCCUUAAGAUAUCUGGUUUUCUUUGAAAAAAAUUUAAUUUUUUCUUUAUGUUAAAGAUAUAGAUAAAGCAAGGGUGCAGAGGGGUUAAGCUCUUUGUGCAAAUAAAAGUUUAUUAUGAAGGUGGUUGAGAAUAUGAUAUUUAGCUAGGCUUAGAAAUAGCCAUGCUUUCAGAUGGUUAUACUUGAGAUAGAUACUGAAAAAUAUUUAUUUGUCUUUUAGAGUGGGUAGGAGAAAGUUAUUUAAAAUUGAAUUUUAUAGUUUAAAAUGAAUGUAUUAGUAUAUAUUAUACUGUUAGUAAUUUUUAUUGACGUAAAUGAUAAGUUUAUCAAGGUAGUGGCGAAAUGAAGGAACUCGGCAAAAGUUAUUUCCGCCUGUUUAUCAAAAACAUGUCUGUAUGAUAGGUGUAUAGAGUCUGGCCUGCCCACUGGGGGUUUAAAGGCCGCGGUAUUAUGACCGUGCGAAGGUAGCAUAAUCAUUAGUCUUUUAAUUGGGGGCUGGUAUGAAUGGUUGGACGAGAAAUUAGCUGUCUUAAGUUUUGAGAAUUGAAUUUAACUUUUAAGUGAAAGGGCUUAAAUGGGCCGGGGGGACGAUAAGACCCUAUAAAGUUUGUACACUAAACUAGUUUAGAGUGAUUUAGGUUUAUAAAGUUUACUAUUGGGGAGGUGUUUAGUUGGGGCGACUAGGAUAUAAGUUAUCUAACUGUUUCUUUGUUGUAAUCAGAAAUAUUUGAGUUUAUGAUCCUUUUUUAGGAUUAUAGAGUAAAUUACUUUAGGGAUAACAGCGUAAUUUUUUUUGAGAGUUCUUAUCGAUAAAAAAGUUUGCGACCUCGAUGUUGAAUUAAAAUUUCUUUGUAAUGCAGCAGUUACAUGAGAAGGUCUGUUCGACCUUUAAAAUUUUACAUGAUUUGAGUUCAGACCGGCGCGAGCCAGGUCGGUUUCUAUCUCUCGGGUUUUAUAUAAUUAUUUUAGUACGAAAGGAUUAAAUAAUUGGAAUAGUUUUAUAAAAAAAAAUUAAUAAAUUUUUAGUUUAUCUAAGUAGGACAUAAAUAUGGUCAGA